rnacentral:tRNA from 1 species
UCCCUGGUGGCUCAGGUGUAAAGAAUCUGCCUGCAAUGCAGGAGACCCAGGUUCCAUCCCUGGGUGGGGAA